UCUACGGGGCGCAGCAGUGAGGAAUAUUGGUCAAUGGCCGGAAGGCUGAACCAGCCAUGCCGCGUGAAGGUCAGUGCCCUAUGGGCGUUAAACUUCUUUUGUGCGGGAGCAAUAAUGGUCACGUGUGGCCAGACGAGAGUACCAUACGAAUCAGCAUCGGCUAACUCCGUGCCAGCAGCCGCGGUAAUACGGGGGAUGCAAGCGUUAUCCGGAUUUAUUGGGUUUAAAGGGUGAGUAGGCUGUGAGGUAAGUCAGCGGGGAAAUGCCCCCGCUCAACGGGGUGAAGUGCCAUUGAUACUGCCUUGCUGGAAUGCGGAUGCCGUGGGAGGAAUGUGUGGUGUAGCGGUGAAAUGCAUAGAUAUCACACAGAACACCGAUUGCGAAGGCAUCUCACGAAUCCGCGAUUGACGCUGAUGCACGAAAGCGUGGGUAUCAAACAGGAUUAGAUACCCGAGUAGUC
rnacentral:rRNA from 1 species